CGAACGCUGGCGGCGUGCUUAACACAUGCAAGUCGAACGAGAACGUACCUUCGGGUGCUAUUAAAGUGGCGAACGGGUGAGUAACACGUGGGUAACCUGCCUUUAACUUUGGAAUAGCCCGGGGAAACCCGGAUUAAUACCUCAUAUCGCCUUUCCAUAUAAGUGGAAAUGUGAAAGUUGCCUUGUGCUUCGGUUAAAGAUGGGCCCGCGUCGGAUUAGUUAGUUGGUGGGGUAAUGGCCUACCAAGACCGCGAUCCGUAGCUGGUCUGAGAGGACGAUCAGCCACACUGGAACUGAGACACGGUCCAGACUCCUACGGGAGGCAGCAGUGGGGAAUCUUGCGCAAUGAGCGAAAGCUUGACGCAGCAACGCCGCGUGAGGGAAGACGGCCUUAGGGUUGUAAACCUCUUUCAGAUGGGACGAAGCCGGGCUGGUGAUGAGCCAGACCGAUGACGGUACCUUCAGAAGAAGCUCCGGCUAACUAC
rnacentral:rRNA from 1 species